GUGUCAGCCGCCGCGGUAAUACGUAGGGCGCAAGCGUUAUCCGGAAUUAUUGGGCGUAAAGAGCUCGUAGGCGGUCUGUCGCGUCUGCUGUGAAAUUCCGAGGCUCAACCUCGGGCUUGCAGUGGGUACGGGCAGACUAGAGUGCGGUAGGGGAGAUUGGAAUUCCUGGUGUAGCGGUGGAAUGCGCAGAUAUCAGGAGGAACACCGAUGGCGAAGGCAGAUCUCUGGGCCGUUACUGACGCUGAGGAGCGAAAGGGUGGGGAGCAAACAGGCUUAGAUACCCUGGUAGUCCACCCCGUAAACGUUGGGAACUAGUUGUGGGGUCCUUUCCACGGAUUCCGUGACGUAGCUAACGCAUUAAGUUCCCCGCCUGGGGAGUACGGCCGCAAGGCUAAAACUCAAAGGAAUUGACGGGGACCCGCACAAGCGGCGGAGCAUGCGGAUUAAUUCGAUGCAACGCGAAGAACCUUACCAAGGCUUGACAUACGCCAGAACGGGCCAGAAAUGGUCAACUCUUUGGACACUGGUGAACAGGUGGUGCAUGGUUGUCGUCAGCUCGUGUCGUGAGAUGUUGGGUUAAGUCCCGCAACGAGCGCAACCCUCGUUCUAUGUUGCCAGCACGUUAUGGUGGGAACUCAUGGGAUACUGCCGGGGUCAACUCGGAGGAAGGUGGGGAUGACGUCAAAUCAUCAUGCCCCUUAUGUCUUGGGCUUCACGCAUGCUACAAUGGCCGGUACAAUGGGCUGCGAUACCGCGAGGUGGAGCGAAUCCCAAAAAGCCGGUCCCAGUUCGGAUUGAGGUCUGCAACUCGACCUCAUGAAGUCGGAGUCGCUAGUAAUCGCAGAUCAGCAACGCUGCGGUGAAUACGUUCCCGGGUCUUGCACACACCGCCCGUC
rnacentral:rRNA from 1 species